GAUGAAGAACGCAGCGAAAUGCGAUAACUAAUGUGAAUUGCAGAAUUCAGUGAAUCAUCGAGUCUUUGAACGCACAUUGCGCCCUCUGGUAUUCCGGAGGGCAUGCCUGUCCGAGCGUCAUUGCUGCCCUCCAGCCCGGCUGGUGUGUUGGGCCCCGUCCCCCUUCCCGGGGGGACGGGCCCGAAAGGCAGCGGCGGCACCGCGUCCGGUCCUCGAGCGUAUGGGGCUUUGUCACCCGCUCUUGUAGGCCCGGCCGGCGCCAGCCGACCCCCUCAAUCUAUUUUUCAGGUUGACCUCGGAGCAGGUAGGGAUACCCGCUGAACUUAAGCAUAUCAAUAAGCGGAGGA
rnacentral:misc_RNA from 1 species